ACGAACGCUGGCGGCAGGCCUAACACAUGCAAGUCGAACGCUCCGCAAGGGGAGUGGCGCACGGGUGAGUAACACGUGGGAACCUACCUUCUGGUACGGAACAACCAAGGGAAACUUUGGUCUAAGACCGUAUACGACCUCCGGGUGAAAGAUUGAUCGCCGGAAGAGGGCCCGCGUCCGAUUAGGUAGUUGGUGAGGUAACGGCUCACCAAGCCUUCGAUCGGU
rnacentral:rRNA from 1 species